rfam:Oryza barthii chromosome 7, whole genome shotgun sequence.
AAUAAGUGUAGUUUUGCACUGUUCAUGUCUAACGUUUGACCGUUCGUCUUAUUUGAAAACUUUUUAUGAUUAAUAUUUUUAUUGUUAUUAGGUGAUAAAACAUGAAUUGUACUUUAUGUGCGACUAACUUUUUUUAAUUUUCUCAUAAAAUUUUCAAAUAAGACGGACAGUCAAACGUUGGACACGGAUUCCCACGACUGCACUUAUU